CACAAAGCAUGGUGGUGAUCGUGCAUCUUCUGCAGGAGAACCCUGGUCUAGACCCUUGGCCAUCCUCACGGGCAAAGGAGGCUUUAGCAUUCUUAUCCUCAUUUUACAGAAGACACUAGGAAGCAAGAAAUCAAGUGAGUGGUGACAAUCAAGCCAAGUUAACUGGAGCAGUAGGGUGAUAUGCUGGAUAGUCUCCUGUCAGUUGGGCAUCUUCCUCAGCCUCUUCAAAGGCAAAAACUACAUUUCCCAGAAUCCCAUUCCUCGUAGAGUUCCAGGUUGGAAUGUGUGAAUGAAAGACACUGAAGAUUUAGAAGGCAGAAGAAGCGGAGGCCAUUAUUUUCCAGAGUCAGUUGCAGACAGGUGUGCGGGCAUCAAAGCUGCUUCCUGGUGAACUUCUUGAGGAGCUCCUGCAUCUGUGUUGCCAACUGAGAUAGCUGGUGCAAGGGUGGACUAUCCCUGAAGCAAUGAAGUUUAAAUUCCUGGACCUUUUCUAAGCCUCUGGGAGUGGCCCUAGCAAUUUUGUAAUUUAUUAUUUUUUUGAAAGAGGGUCUCUAAAUCGUAUUAGCUUUAAGUGUCACAAAACCUAGAUUUAGCCCUAAAUGGCAGAGAGCUUCCCAGAGAUCUUGUGAUCCAGUGGCUUCAGGAGAACUGAGAACCACUGGCUUAGGGACUGGAGUCUGAGAUAUUCAGUGAAGCCCCUCAGACUUUCCCUCCCUCAGCCCUUCCAACAGUUGUAGAAGCUUUCACGUCCUUCAUACCAGGAAUACAGUGGCUUUUGUUUUUCUGACCAAACAGUAAUUGCUUUAAAAUGAUUGUUAUCAGCAAGUAGAUUAUAACUCUUUUUUGGUCUCAAUCUCAAAUUUAAGAAAAUUUUUUUUCAGUAGAAAUGAUAGUGAAAAAAAAUUUAACAUUGCAUCAAGAAAAACUUAGAGCAAGUUCCAUCUUGACCGACAUUGGAUACUCAUAAUGUUGCACAUUGGCACACAGUGUGUGUUUAGUAAAUAUGUGGGUGAGUGCAUGAAUUAAUGAGUGAGUGAAGGAACAGAUGAAUUUAUGUGCAUCUGUACCCAAGUUGCUUCCUAGUUAUGAUUAUUAAAACAACAUUGAUUAUGUUUGUUCUAAUUCUCUGUAGAUUUAUUUAGCACAGUACCAAGAACUCCCAGCUGCUCACUGCUUUUUUUGGAUGAAAAUGAGGAGUAGUUUUGGGAGCCAGUCCAGUGCAAAUUCUAGGAAACCCCAGAGUGCAUCUGUAAUUAGUUUAGGGUCUUCCAGAGGUUGGAGACCACACCUGUUAGUUAUGAAUUAUUUUCCAAGGAAGAAUAUAUUGAAAAGAAAAAACAGGAUUGACUAUUGGAUCAGUUUAAAGAGCUCAACCCCUCUCUCAUUUUUCUUUCUUGCAAUUCAAUUCUGAAUGGUAAAUAGCAAUGAUAAUCAUCUUUUGGAGAAGAAAGUCAAUUGCCAGUCUUCACCA